CAUAAAUUUUAGUGUUCAAUAAUUUUAACUAUCAACUCUCUCUAAGGUUGAGAAAAAAUUGCAAUGAGAUAUAAUUGUAAAAUAGAGAACUAAAGUGUAGAAAAUAUGAUAUUCUUAAGAGAAGUUCUUCUUGGUAUACAGGAUUUGUGUUUCUCCGGUAAAAGUAUCGGAUAGCGGAAAUUCAACAUUCUCUCGUGUUGAGAAAUUAACAGGGAUGUAGGCAAAAGGCCCAACCUUGAAAAAAAUCGAUCACCUACUUUGAGUUUGAUUUUCUCCGACUCUUUUCAUUCUUCUUUUAGUACAGAUUAAUCAAUUUAUGUUCAUUGCAUUUUGUUUUAGAAACUUAAUUUGCCCCUCUUUUUGGGUUGUCAUUCCGAUUCUAUCGGAGCUAGAUCUCACAAUAUUUAGAUUAGGGAUAAUUGCCUAUAUAUGCCUCAUAUGUUCGGAAAUAUCCGAUCUACCCUUGUUUUUUUUUUUUCUUUCUAAAAUACUCCUCAUAUGUUUCACUGUUAUUUCAAAAUAUUCCUACAGUUAUCCUCUGUUAGCUUAACUUGAGUUAAACAUGGGUUAAAUAUAUAUUAAAGUUAAAACCUAAAUAAAAUACCUAUUUUGUCCCUACCAUAUUAUACUAAUUCCUUAAGUUAUCCUCCUCAUCCUCCUCGUCAUUCCCCCUCUCCCUCCUACCCCUAUCGUCACCCAAACCCAACCCCAUC
rnacentral:lncRNA from 1 species